CAGUAGCCACGGUAAUACGGAGGGGGCUAGCGUUGUUCGGAAUUGCUGGGCGUAAAGCGCACGUAGGCGGCUUGGUAAGUUAGAGGUGAAAGCCUGGAGCUCAACUCCAGAAUUGCCUUUAAGACUGCCGAGCUAGCAGGUGAGAGAGGUAAGUGGAAUUCCGAGUGUAGAGGUGAAAUUCGUAGAUAUUCGGAAGAACACCAGUGGCGAAGGCGGCUUACUGGCUCAUACUGGACGCUGAGGUGCGAAAGCGUGGGGAGCAAACAGGAUUAGAUACCCCCGUAGUCCCUGUCUCUUAUAC
rnacentral:rRNA from 1 species